UACUGAACCAUUGUUUGGAGUUGGA
rnacentral:misc_RNA from 1 species